GUUUCACCCCCGAGUCCACAUGGUGCAUGCGGAUUUCCGAUUGGGCCUAUGCCUAUCUCCGCUCCAUCACUCGGUGGUUCGUUCGUCGCACGCCUUGUCGAACAGUCGAACUCAAUCGAAAUGCUGAGCUCCACUAAACUCCUCCCCAGAACCAUCACCAACCUCCAAACCCUUCGCCACCUCAAUUCCCUGACUCCCUCCUCCAGCACCACCAACAAGGACGCCUACUUUGCUUUGAUACACCACAUAACCAACAUAGUCCGCCGCGACAUCUACCCUGAACGCACUCUCAACAGACUCAACCUUCCCGUCAACUCGGAUCUCGUCUUCCGCGUUCUACGCGCCUGCUCUCACUCUCCUUCUGAAUCCUUCCGUUUCUUCACAUGGGCCCGCGCCCAUUAUUCCCCUACCUCCGUCGAAUACGAAGAACUCGUCAAAACCCUUGCUCGCGCAAAGCGAUAUACUUCCAUGUGGAAACUCAUUACCCAAAUGAAGGUCGAAAACCCCAAAUUCAGCAUUUCCAGUGAUACGGUUUGUUCUAUUAUCCAAGAGUAUGGGAAACAUGGACUCAUCGAUCAGGCCGUUGAGGUUUUUAACAAGUGCAAUAGUUUAAAUUGUUCACAAUGCGUUGAUGUUUACAAUGCUUUGCUUUAUGCUCUUUGUGAAGUGAAAAUGUUCCAUGGAGCUUAUGCUUUGAUUAGGAGGAUGAUUAGGAAGGGUUUGGUUCCUGAUAAGUGGACUUAUGCUGUUCUUGUUAAUGGGUGGUGCUCCAGUGGGAAGUUGAGGGAGGCACGGGUGUUUUUAGACGAAAUGAGUAAGAUGGGGUUUAAUCCUCCUGUGAGAGGGAGAGAUAUGUUGAUUGAAGGGUUGUUGAAUGCUGGAUAUUUGGAGUCUGCCAAGCAAAUGGUUACGAAGAUGACUAAAGUGGGCUUUGUGCCGGAUGUUAAUACGUUUAAUUCUUUGAUAGAAGCUAUUUGUAAAGCAGGGGAGGUUGAUUUUUGUGUUGAUAUUUAUCAUGGUGUUUGCAAGUUGGGCCUUUGUCCUGAUAUAAACACUUAUAAGAUUUUGAUUCCUGCUGUUUCAAAGGUGGGCAGGAUUGAUGAGGCUUUUCGGUUAUUGCACAAUUUUAUUGAGGAUGGCCAUAGGCCAUUUCCUAGUUUGUAUGCACCGAUAAUCAAGGGGAUGUUCAGGAGAGGGCAAUUUGAUGAUGCCUUUUGUUUCUUUAGUGAAAUGAAGGUGAAAGGACACCCUCCAAAUAGGCCGGUAUAUACAAUGUUGAUAACUAUGUGUGGACGUGGAGGGAGAUAUGUGGAAGCAGCCAAUUAUUUGGUUGAGAUGACUGAGAUGGGUUUGACGCCAAUUUCAAGGUGCUUCGAUAUGGUUACUGAUGGGUUGAAGAAUUGUGGGAAGCAUGAUCUGGCUAAGAGGAUAGAACAGCUGGAAGUGUCUCUUUGCAGUGUCUGAUUGUGGCGAUUGAUGACAACAAUUUAUGCAUUGAGGAUGGAUUUUGGUAGAAAUGUACAACAUUGAGCUCAUGGAUGAUAGAAGUUCUGCUGAAUAUGAAAGCUGCCUGACUUCGAACAGUUCCUACAGUUAUUGGUUAUCAGUGGUUGCUCAGCCUUCAGAGCCUAUCCAGUGCAUUCUUUUCAUAGCAGGAGAAGAUAGAGUAAAUUGCUGGCAGAUUAUUUCGUGGGAUCUCUCUGAAUGAUGUGUGUCAAAAUUGUUCUCACUCGUUUGUUACAAUUGCUCUCUUUUCUGCAGCAGUUGAGAAAAUUGGGGAUUUGAUCUGAACUGGAGAAAAGAGAGCAACAGGAGGAAGUUUUACACGUUGGCACAGAAGUGGGCAUCGAGCAGGAGUUAGAGAUCCUUUUGUAAAGUCUAGAUGAAGUGAUGGAUUCUGUAGAUGUAUAAUCCAGACUCAUGUUUAUACAGUGAUCUGUUUUGGAGAGGAGUGUGUUGAAGGUUAAGCAUAAAUAAUAAUUUAGAGCAAAGAUGAGAAGAUGGUAAAGGAAACCACUUUCCUCGGCAGAAUAUGUGAUGUGUUGUUGGUCUUCACAUCAGUUUGUACAUUCUUGAACCUUUUCUCUUUCCCUUUCAAUUCGUUAUUUACAUGUGCUCAUCUUCUAAGUUUCCUAAAUGCAGGGGCAGCAUCCCUAUCUGUGUCUUUUUUACGUUAUUG
rnacentral:misc_RNA from 1 species